CCCUGGGCCGCUAUAGCCGCGCUGUCACAGCCGCGCCGGCGGGGUGCCCGUCGUCUGGCCUGUCGCUUGCCCUCUCUUUCCUGGACGUCAGCCUCCCUAGGUGUAUCAGCGCUGUUUCCAAGGGGUGUGUGAUUUGAGAAUCUCCAUUUGGUCUGUGAGCCUGUCUGUUCUGUGACUUCUGGGAUAGCGUGGCUGCCCCACCAUUGCAUCAAGGCACCCAGAGAAAACCCUGUAAAGCUGCUUGUGGCUGGAGACAACUUCCCUGCCCUGGAGGUCCUACCCCACCGUCCUGGAGCUGAGGAGGGCGCUGUCUCCUACACACCUGACAGCAACCCGACUGGAAAGCUCUGAAUUAUGCUUUGGAAUUUUUCAAAAGAAAGAGCCUUUUUCAAGUUUCUAGAGAAGUUCAACCUGGGUCUCACCGGUCUACAACUGAGGCGUCAGUAGAGCUGUGUUGCUUCCUGGAGGCUUUAGGAGGGAACCUGUUUGCCUGCCUUUUCCAGCUGCCUGGGGUCACAAGCAUUGCUUGGCUCGUGGUGGCUCCUGUCUCCAUCUUCAAAGCCAGCAACAUAGCAUCUCUCUGACUCUGCUUUCGUUGUCACGCCUCUUUCUCUGACUCUCCUUUUUGGCUUACUUCUUCCCCUUUUAAGGACCCUGUGAUUACAUUGGGCCCACCUGGAUAAUUCAGAGUAAUCAGUCAGUUAAUAAGCAAUAUUAAUUCUAUCUGCAACCUUAAUUCCCAUUUGCCGUGUAACAUAAAACAUCAGCAAGUUCCAGGGAUUAAGAUGUGGACAUUAAAGUAGUACCCAUUCUGACCUGUCAGAUCCAGCUAGGGGCCAAGAUCAUCUGGUGGCAGGAGAGUAAUUUAGGUGAAAGAAACUGCUUAGAAGGAUGUUAUGAAUGUGGCAAGCGUGCCUAGUCUUGCUUUUCCAGUAAACUCAGUAAUUGCAUUGUGAUUUUUUAAAACACUACUAAACUAAAUGAUGCAUGAAUAUAUUAAAAUGGUUGUCCCUUGUGGUAGGAUUGUGGGUUAUUUAAAUUUUAAUUUUCAUACUUUUCUGCAUUUACUAAGUUUUCUACAAUAGGCAGGUUUUGCUUUUAUAAUGAAAAUAAUUAAUUUUUCAGAAUCUUCAAUCUCCAUAGACUAUGAAAGUUAUGAACAAACAGAAAAGAAAUAAGUGAAGUGACACAUAUAAAAUUGAUAACAAUAACAAAGGCUUAAAUAACAAAGGAUAUAAUUAACAAAAUUGAUAUAAAUAAUACAUAAUGACUACAAACUCAACAUAAGCUAGCCA